ensembl:lncRNA
AAAGGAAAAGCUAUUGGUUUAUAUAUAGAUAUAUAUAUAGAUAUAUACUGUGUUUACAGAGUCAACAAGUUAAAUGCAAUAUUCAUAAGAGCAUUAACAAUAAAAAUACAAUCUGUGUGUAGCCAAGUACAGACUUAAAAUGGUAAAACAGGAAAAAGGAUCUCACCAAAAGUACAAAUAUACAGUACAAAUUGAUUUAUUUAAAACAGUUACAAAAAAAGCACAACAAAAUAGAGAUUAUCCUUAGAAUUAUUAAUGCUUUGUUAAAGAUCAGGUAGAGGAGAGGGGCAGGAGCAAGGCUGGAGUGGAGCACCUGACUAGUUCUAAGGCUUUAGAUACAAUGCAGUCGGUUACAUGUUAAUACAGCCAUUACAUAACUGGGAUUAUAGUUGAGGGAUCAGCACUUAUCUACAAAGACCUCCCUGCCUCGGCAGCCCAGCCCCUUCCCCAGGGCCACGUCUCUGCUCUGCUUCACUGGGGCAGACCCUCCCCUGGUGCCUCGAAACAACCAGAGUGCGCACGGUGUGCUUGCAAGGGGGGCGGCAGCAGCCUAGAAGGAUCUUGGGGGCAAGUCCUGUCCUCCAUGGACAGAUGUGAAGACCAUGGAAGGGCCUCGACCAUCAGCAUUUUAAGUCAUACAUGGAACACACCCUGGGCCAAACUCUGUACAGAGUGUGCAUUCGGAGCCAUCUUAGCAGGUUCUGCAAGGUUUCAGGCCCUAGGACAGCCUGAAAGACAAAGAGCAGUUGUGAGUGGCGCUAGGGAAAGGCACGUGUGCUGCUGUGGGCAGGAACUAGCAUGUGGGCUACUCAAGCUGCUGUCAUUUCUGUUACAGUAUUUUCCAAGUAACAAGUGGUGUUAGUUCUCUACUGGGCAAAGUGACUUCAAGUGUGGGGUGGGGACCGGGGGACGGGGACACUUAAUGUGAAAAGUGCAUUAUACUUGUGCUCCUGCUGGAAAGGGGAGGCGGAGGGGCCCCUGCAGCUUUCCUUCUUUCCAGACAGAGCUUCCUCUGCAUAGUCUGCUCAUGGUGAGCACUCGUUGCAAGUCUCAUCUUCCUGGAGCCGCAGUGAUGCAGAGCCUAGAACCAGGCGCGGCCUCUGCUGGGCAGCAGGCCCCAGAAGUGGCUCAUGAGAUGGCACAGAUGGAUACAGACACCCAUUAUUGCAUCCUACAGACUCUUGCUGCGGAGGGUGAGCUGGGUAACACCAAGGCCAGGAGGCCUCCUCCAGGCAGGACAGCCCACAGCUCCCUCCCCUUCACAAAAGCAGCAGGAAAACAGUAUAUUUCUCCAAGAAGCCUGUCACAUCUCUGCCAGCAGAAAGGCCCAGAUAACUAUCUCAUUCCACAAUGUUUUCCUGGCUUUACCUCCUCCUUUCCCUGUAAACCUAAAUAAUAAAAGCCUCCUCCACGGGCUCAUUUAUAGCGUUUCUGCCUGCAGCAGCGCCUGUCUCACACCCCCUAUCUCAGGAGAGCCUCAACGCUCCGCACAACCACCACCGGCUGAGCCGCACAGCCCAGCCCAGCCAGGACAGAUUCCAGCGAUCACGAGCACUGCUAAGCUGGGUCAGACGGCCACCGGGGCCCCUCCUGCCUACCACCUCUGGGGCAAGCAGCGAUGCCCAGACCCCUCAUGUCACUGCCCUGCGAUGAGAUGUGCCCCAAACCACUGUUUCC